rnacentral:lncRNA from 1 species
UGUGGUGGCAACCAACAUGGUGAUCUACAGAUGAGGCAAAUGUUCCUUGAGGGAGUUGAUGAUCCGCCUAGAUGCACCCCAACCUGGGGCUGCCUGUUCUGAAAGCCAUGAGAUGGAGUGGAGUGUACAUCUACAAGAUUGUCCUGAUCAAGUGUUCACAUUGCUGUUGGAGCGUCUAUCAACCCUGAUAAGAUAGAAAUAAAUAACUUGAACAUCAUUAUUUUUACUCAUGAGUGUCAAUGUUAGAAUGACUUUUUCUAGCAUUGUUAGAUUACAUGAAAAUUAAACUCAAAAUUUAGAGAGAGAAUUUAGUGAAGUAUUUUGUAA